rnacentral:rRNA from 1 species
GACGAACGCUGGCGGCGUGCUUAACACAUGCAAGUCGAACGGUGAAGCGCCUUCCUUUUUGGUGGGUGUGGAUGAGUGGCGAACGGGUGAGUAACACGUGAGUAACCUGCCCCCUUCUUCUGGAUAACCGCAUGAAAGUGUGGCUAAUACGGGAUAUUCUGGGUCUGUCGCAUGAUGGGUCUGGGAAAGAUAUUGUUUCGGUGGGGGAUGGGCUCGCGGCCUAUCAGCUUGUUGGUGGGGUGAUGGCCUACCAAGGCGGUGACGGGUAGCCGGCCUGAGAGGGUGGACGGUCACACUGGGACUGAGACACGGCCCAGACUCCUACGGGAGGCAGCAGUGGGGAAUGUUGCACAAUGGGCGCAAGCCUGAUGCAGCGACGCCGCGUGAGGGAUGGAGGCCUUCGGGUUGUGAACCUCUUUCGCCAGUGAAGCAGGCCUGCCUCGUUUGUGGGUGGGUUGACGGUAGCUGGAUAAGAAGCGCCGGCUAACUACGUG